AUGGAGACCCUUUUCGGAGCUCCUUACGACAUACGGCACGCUCCACCCUCACACGGCCAGCCAUCUCAGGUGUACUCCGACUACUUUGCCCGUGUCAAGGAUCUGGUCCAGCAUGCGAGCAAGAAGAAUGAGAACAAGCCGGUCAUCCUCGUGGGGCACAGCUUCGGAGCCAGGGCGGGCCUCGACUUCGUCAAUUCGACUCCCCUAUCAUGGAGGAAAAAAUUCGUCAAGCACAUGGUCCUAAUCUCGCCCACACCACCUACGGGCUUUGUGCAGGUGAUCACGAACCUUCUCUCGGGGCCAGAGGUCAUUGUUGUCCCAACAGUUAAGCGGCUGGGUUUACGUCUAAUGUGGAGAACUUUUGCAAGUUCCCUUACAUCCUUGCCGUCUCCUCUGGUUUUUGGUUACGAGCCGCUUGUUGUUACCAAACAUAGAAACUACUCAGCGUACGACUACAUGGAUUUACUCACUGUGCUCGGUUUCAGCACCGACGUCGUGAAACGGGUGCUAGCAACGAAGCUAAAGGCUGACGCACCAAUGGUGCCAACCACAUACCUUACAGGUGCCAGCAUCCAAACGCCAAAUCAGGUGAUGUUCUGGGAUUGUAACUUUGAUGUGGUUCCAGAGUAUGUAUAUGGCGAUGGUGACAAGGUUGUGAACUUAGUUAGCGUGUUGGCAUUCGUGAAAGAAAUCAGC
rnacentral:rRNA from 1 species